GCAAAAGUGUUGUGACAUUUGGAAAGUUUUUAUCUGUUUGACUUCCUCGGCCCACACGCGGAAGCAAUUCCAUAACUUUUACACACAAAUGUGACAAACAAAACCUAACGAUUGCAAGUAACAUGUCAUGUUUUUGUUAUUAGUAGUAGUCUAUAAUUCUGUACAGAUUAAUCUCAGCACUGUAGCAUUGCGUCUGCCAAUAACCAUCAUGCACGCAAUCUAUCAGGCACCCCACCAGGGCAGAUCACUUGGGUGAGAUGUUGAAUGUUGCUGCGCAGCACGUCAGGCAAGGAGGGAAAGCAUCACUGAAGGCACAGGGGUGACAGAAUCAGCUGCACAGUAAUCAGUGAGGCCCGGUACCCAGAAACACUAUGCUCCAGUAAUUCAGCCCCGGACCUCAAAACCUAAUGAAAUCUGCAACCGCCUGUUUUGGACUUUUUCAGACCAGAGCUGAAACAACGCUGCCAGAAAUCACGUGACUCACAAGCUUGCAACUGUGUGGGCAGAUGUCUGAAAAGUGGGUGUUGUAAACUCAGCUCUGAAAGAACAGCCUGCAAUACAAGUGGAAAUGUACAUCCACAAAAGUUUCAAAAUAAAGAUUAGCCCUUUUGAAACUCAUUUCAAAAAACUUUUUUCCCCAACAACACCAUUUGACAGUUAUCGUAGCUAGCAGAUAAGCCAGAUACACCGCUAAAUUGCAGCGGCAAGAGCAGCUACAUCACCACGACCACAUGGCCCAUUCAAACACAAACAAGUCAAGAGAGACUGAUAAGACAGAACUGAUGAAUGUCAUUAAGGCUUACAUAAAAUCAUAUUGUGAACAUUACUGUCAAUGCUGGAAAUUAUUUGUCAAUUAGGAAAGCUACCAUGGCCAUGACAUUGUUGUUUGUUUUUGUCAGCUGACAAUUACGUGGUUGCUGCCGCUGGAUUUUAAGCGGUGCAUCAGCGCACGUGUUGUACACAAGAAGCAUGACACAGCUGGAAUAUACAAACCAUGGUGGAAGCAGGACUCCACAAGUGAUCGCUAUGUAUUCACAAGUUGUAAUAAUGAUCUAAGAUGGUCAAAUGCACGAUCAAACUCUCUGCCCUUCACUGUUUGUCUAGCGCCUUUUAAGGUGUGCUGUUCUAACCGUAUUCCUUAAUGACAUUUCACCUUGAUAUUAAUUAUGUUAUUAUCGAUUACACCCAAUUUAACUGCUAUAAUCGUAACAUGAUGUUUACACAUGCAAACAGCUGCAAAUGUGAAAUUAUUAUAACAACAAGAACAUUCUCUUCUCAGAACUAAUUUGCUGUAUUUCAUGUUCUAUGGUCUAUUGCCCAUUAUGUAAUCUGCAAAUGUCAUUCCAAAAGUAUAGUCCUGUGACAACAGUUGCAAUUGGGGCUGUGGGCUGCAUUUGAGAUCUAUUUUACUUUGUCAGUGUGUUUGUGUGUAGGCCUAUAUAAUAUACUGUAACCUAUAUAACUCAAUCACAUAUAUAAUUUACUGUAUGUCACUUUAUUUGUGUAGUGCUUUUCAUACAAACAUUUGUAGUGCUUCACACAAUAA